AAAACAUGUCUUUUUGAAAUAAUUUAAAGUCUGGUCUGCUCACUGAGUAUUUAAAGAGCCGCAGUAUAUUGACUGUGCAAAGGUAGCAUAAUCAAUAGUUUUUUAAUUGAAAACUUGUAUGAAAGAUUCGACGAAAAAAAUAUUUUCUUUAUUUUUAUAAAUUGAAUUUUAAUUUUAAGUGAAAAUGCUUAAGUAAGUUUAAAAGACGAGAAGACCCUAUAGAUUUUUAUUGUUUUUAUAAAUUUAUAGUUUAAUUUAAUCAAACAAUUUAAUUGGGGCGAUUUUUUAAUAAAAAAAACUUAAUUUUUUAAAACCGUAAAUAAUUGAAUUUGAUGAUCUAAAAGUUUUAAUGGAAAGAUUAAAUUACCUUAGGGAUAACAGCGUAAUUUUAUUUAAGAGUUCAUAUCUAUAAUAAAGUUUGCGACCUCGAUGUUGAAUUAAGAUAAUAUAUUGGAGUAGAAAUUAAUAUAAUUAGUCUGUUCGACUAUUAAAUUCUUACGUGAUCUG
rnacentral:rRNA from 3 species